rnacentral:rRNA from 1 species
UAGGGAAUCUUCGGCAAUGGGGGCAACCCUGACCGAGCAACGCCGCGUGAGUGAAGAAGGUUUUCGGAUCGUAAAGCUCUGUUGUAAGAGAAGAACGUGUGUGAGAGUGGCAAGUUCACACAGUGCCGGUAACUUACCAGAAACCGCCGCCUAACUACGUGCCAGCAGCCGCGGUAAUACGGAGUUCCCGAGCGUUGCCCGGAUUUAUUGGGCGUAAAGCGAGCGCAGGCGGUGUAAUAAGGCUAAAGUUAAAGGCAGUGGCUAAACGCGUGGUAGCGUUGGAAACUGUUAAACUUGAGUGCAGAAGAGGAGAGUGGAAUUCCAUGUGUAGAGGUGAAAUGCGUAGAUAUAUGGAGGAACACCGGUGGCGAAAGCGGCUCUCUGGUCUGUAACUGACGCUGAGGCUCGAAAGCGUGGGGAGAAAACAGG